UACGUAGGGUCCGAGCGUUAAUCGGAAUUACUGGGCGUAAAGCGUGCGCAGGCGGUUUUGUAAGCCAGAUGUGAAAUCCCCGGGCUUAACCUGGGAAUGGCAUUUGGGACUGCAAGGCUGGAGUACGGCAGAGGGAGGUGGAAUUCCAGGUGUAGCAGUGAAAUGCGUAGAGAUCUGGAGGAACACCGAUGGCGAAGGCGGCGACCUGGGAUAGAUACU
rnacentral:rRNA from 1 species